ACUAGAGUAGCACUCGCAUAUCAAUAAGCGGAGGAAAAGAAACUAACAAGGAUUCCCCUAGUAACGGCGAGUGAAGCGGGAAGAGCUCAAAUUUGAAAUCUUAAAGGGUUUCCCUUUACGAAUUGUAGUUUAAAGAAGUGUUUUCUGUUGAGGUUUUGGUAAAAGUUCUUUGGAAUAGGACAUCAUAGAGGGUGAGAAUCCCGUAUUUGACCUUUACUUUCAACUUUGUGAUACACUUUCAAAGAGUCGGAUUGUUUGGGAAUGCAGUCCAAAAUGGGUGGUAAAUUUCAUCUAAAGCUAAAUAUUGGCGAGAGACCGAUAGCGAACAAGUACCGUGAGGGAAAGAUGAAAAGAACUUUGAUAAGAGAGUUAAACAGUACGUGAAAUUGUCAAAAGGGAAGCGUUUGACACCAGUGUUGUUUUUCUGAAAAUCAAUUAAAGAACUGUUUAUGCUAAGUUGUUUAGACUUUAUCAGCUAUCUGUUUAGUUUUAGGCUUUUCUUUAAUGCACUUUUCAGUUAACAAGUCAACAUCAAUUUCUUUUGCUGUAAAAAAGCUUGAGGAAGGUGGCUUGAGAUUCGUCUUAGGUGUUUAUAGCCUCUUGCCUAUGCAGUCGGAGAGAUUGAGGUCUGCAGCGUAGAUCCUUCGGGGCUAAAUGCAUUUGUGCUAAGUUAUAGCAUUUUAUAGACAACUUGUUGACUAUGAUUUGUCUUGUAGCUUACUCGCUUAUGUUAUUUUACCUACGCUUAGGAUGUUGAGCGCAUGUCUCUCUCU
rnacentral:rRNA from 1 species